CCUACGGGUGACAGCAGUGAGGAAUAUUGGUCAAUGGCCGGAAGGCUGAACCAGCCAAGCCGCGUGAAGGACGAAGGUGCCAAGCAUUUUAAACUUCUUUUGUCAAGGGACAAAAUCAGGCUCGAGAGCCUGACCGAGGGUACUUGAAGAAAAAGCAUCGGCUAACUCCGUGCCAGCAGCCGCGGUAAUACGGAGGAUGCGAGCGUUAUCCGGAUUUAUUGGGUUUAGGGGGUGCGUAGGCGGGGUGUUAAGUCAGAGUGAACAGCCAGGGGCUAAACCACGGCGAGCUGUUGAAACUGGCUGUCUGGAGAGGUGGAGAGGUAUGCGGAAUGCGCAGUGUAGCGGUGAAAUGCGUAGAUAUUGCGCAGAACUCCGAUUGCGAAGGCAGCAUACCGGCGGCGAUCUGACGCUGAGGCACGAAAGCGUGGGUAUCGAACAGGAUUAGAUACCCUUGUAGUC
rnacentral:rRNA from 1 species